rnacentral:tRNA from 9 species
GGCGGAUGUAGCCAAGUGGAUAAAGGCGGU